UACAGAGGUCUCGAGCGUUAGGCGGAAUCACUGGGCUUAAAGCGUGUGUAGGCGGAUUGGUAAGUACCUUGUGAAAUCCCACGGCUCAACCGUGGAACUGCUCGGUAUACUGCCUGUCUUGUGCAACCUAGGGGCGAGCGGAACAGAUGGUGGAGCGGUGAAAUGCGUAGAUAUCAGGAGGAACACCGAUGGCGAAGGCAGCUCGCUGGGACGGUACUUACGCUGAGGCGCGAAAGCGUGGGGAGCAAACAGG
rnacentral:rRNA from 1 species